rnacentral:rRNA from 1 species
UACAGAGGGGGCAAGCGUUGUUCGGAAUUACUGGGCGUAAAGGGCGCGUAGGCGGCCUUCUAAGUCGAACGUGAAAUCCCUGGGCUCAACCCAGGAACUGCGUCCGAUACUGGAAGGCUUGAAUCCGGGAGAGGGAUGCGGAAUUCCAGGUGUAGUGGUGAAAUGCGUAGAGAUCGGCAGGAACACCCAGGGGGAAACCAGUGGACUGGCACGGUGCUGACGCUCAGGUGCGAAAGCGUGGGGAGCGAACCGG